CAAACGCAACCAUCAAAAUCCAAUUUGCUCAAACACCUACCAAGCUUUGAAUUGAAUCCCAUCACCUGAAUCUACUGUCUCAAAAUCUAGCUGGGGAAAAAACCCAGAAGAAGAGUAGAAAACAGGAAACGAAUAUCCCCAUCUCUACGCACUUCUUCUUAGAAAUGGCGUACGUAGACCACGCCUUCUCCAUAACAGACGACGACAUUAUGAUGGAGACAUCAUACGUUGUCAACAAUCGACCACCAAUCAAGGAGAUUGCUCUUGCCGUCUCUCUUCUCGUUUUCGGCGUCGUCGGUAUCGUUUUGGGCAUUUUUAUGGCUUCGAACAAAAUCGGCGGUGACCGUGCUCAUGG
rnacentral:misc_RNA from 1 species